UACGAAGGGGGCUAGCGUUGCUCGGAAUCACUGGGCGUAAAGGGCGCGUAGGCGGCCAUUCAAGUCGGGGGUGAAAGCCUGUGGCUCAACCACAGAAUUGCCUUCGAUACUGUUUGGCUUGAGUAUGGCAGAGGUUGGUGGAACUGCGAGUGUAGAGGUGAAAUUCGUAGAUAUUCGCAAGAACACCCGUGGCUAAGGCGGCUCUCUAGUACGGUACUGACGCUGAGACGCGAAAGCGUGGGGAGCGAACAGG
rnacentral:rRNA from 1 species